rnacentral:rRNA from 1 species
ACGAACGCUGGCGGCGUGCUUAACACAUGCAAGUCGAACGGAAAGGCCCUGCUUUUGUGGGGUGCUCGAGUGGCGAACGGGUGAGUAACACGUGAGUAACCUGCCCUUGACUUUGGGAUAACUUCAGGAAACUGGGGCUAAUACCGGAUAGGAGCUCCUGCUGCAUGGUGGGGGUUGGAAAGUUUCGGCGGUUGGGGAUGGACUCGCGGCUUAUCAGCUUGUUGGUGGGGUAGUGGCUUACCAAGGCUUUGACGGGUAGCCGGCCUGAGAGGGUGACCGGCCACAUUGGGUCUGAGAUACGGCCCAGACUCCUACGGGAGGCAGCAGUGGGGAAUAUUGCACAAUGGGCGGAAGCCUGAUGCAGCAACGCCGCGUGCGGGAUGACGGCCUUCGGGUUGUAAACCGCUUUCGCCUGUGACGAAGCGUGAGUGACGGUAAUGGGUAAAGAAGCACCGGCUAACUACGUG